UUUAAUCCUGAAAAAAAAAGGGUUUAGGUGCCCUAUUUUAGGGUCUAUUAAGAGUAAUCUUUUUCCAAAGUUCAUUUCGAGAAUUCUAUGUACUGACUCUGUAUGAACAGAAAUAUUCUUAAUGCUAAAAUUAUUCAGUAAUUGUUAAUUUAGUGUUUCUAUUAAUAUUUAAACUAUAGAAUGUGUUUCAUUUUAGUUGUAGACCAUGUUAUAAGUAUCAACUUGUAAUCUUUCGCUGAUAGUUAUUGUGUUAAACUGUUAAUUAAUGAUUUAGUUUUGUGACACUUGUUAAAUUGUGCUCGAAAACAUUUGGGAAUGUGAAUGUUAAGGGAUGGACUUUGUUUUUCCAGUCAUUAAGCUCUCUAAUCUUAUGAUCUUAUCAUUGCCGUUUUGUCUGCCAGCGUUAUAUCAUCUUGUACUAGUCCUGUGAUAGAUUUUGUUGAAGCUGAAUUUAUUAGGACGAAGUGUAUUAAGAAAAAUGAUUCUAACAAAUGUGCACAAGAACAAAGACAUAAAAUAUUGAAGUUCAUAGCAAAUAAAUUGCAUAAUUAGCAGAGAGAAAAAUACGAGAAUAAAUGAGUGCUAUGAAAUCAACUGAAAUAUCAAACUUCUCAACUUGACUCAAUCCUUUAUCUCAAAUUUCUAACAAGAAAUGUAAAAUUUGAAUAAAAAAGGAUACAUCAAAAUGCUUGAAGAAUAGAUGUAGAAUACUUAUAACAAUUUCACAACUUCACUCAAUCCUGUUAGCUAUGUGUUUAAGAAUAUAUGUAACUAAACCAAUUACCAUAGCCUCAGAAUUUCAUCAUCACUUAGACCUCCACUUUCAUAAUAAUCGUAAGUAUGGUAAGAAUCAACAUCUGAUGGAGAAUACUCAUCUGAUUGAGAAUCAUCAUAAAUAUUCAUCAAGAGGA
rnacentral:lncRNA from 1 species